CGCGCGCGCGGCGAGGAGAGAACGGCGUGAGCGAGUGAGUGUGCGAGCGGCGCGCGUGUGAGUGCGCGUGAGUGUGCGUGCCCGUGGCGCGGGCGCCCGCGGCUGCGGGGCUGGCGCUGCCUGGAGCCCGGCCGGGCCAGGGGCCCGGGCCGCGGCGAGCUCGUUGUGCGGAGGGGGCUGCCACCCGGCCCGGAGUGCGUUGGGGCGCCAGGAAGUGCCCGAGGGCGGAGCGCUGGGGGCGAGGCUGCGCCGGACCCACUGUGGGGACCGCUGGAGCUGGCGGAGGAACUAACUAUACCUCUGUAGAUCGUGCUCAGAGAGAAGAAAUCAUGGCUGGAGACAUAUUUUCAAAGAGGCUACAACGUCCCCAUUGAAGUGGUCCAGGAGAGUGAGCCAGGAAGAUGAACGCGCAAAACGGUCUCCCACAUUAUUUGAAAGUGCAGAGGGAACUAGUUUAAAUGAUCAGGAUUCCAGACAGAAGAAACAUCCCCGUGAGGUUGUGCUGGACACCUACUGCUCCCCGCGAGCACAAGGCUGUGGGACACGCAGAGACACACACAUGGCAGUCAGCAUUUUGGUGCUUUCUUGCUUUAAUUUUUCCAUGCAAAUGUGUCCCCACCACCAGCUUCCAUCACUGCAACCCAAAACAAAACAAACGAAGGACAAACUUAAGCAAGAAUUUACAUCUGGUGAAAAUGUGUAUAAACAAUGAAGAAUGGAAUUUCUUCCAGAUUUUUUAUUCCUAUGAUUGACUCACAGCUUCGAAAAUCUGUGAAGUGAUACUUUGGUCAUGGAGGUUCCAAGAAAACACAUUUGCAAACUUUUUACUUUAAAUGAGAUAUUUAAAAAUAUUUAACAUAAUAUUUCAAACUUUGAUUUAUAGAAGUGAUGUUAUAAAAAUUAGAAAUUACAUUUUCCCUGUUGAUAAUAGUGUGUGAGAAGAGAUUGCUCCAAGAGUAUUAUUUUUAAUAAAUUUAGUAUAACUACAACACAAAAAUUCUGCAUGCACAUAGGCUUGGUAUAUACUCAUUACAUUUUGGUGUACUUAUCUUCAGGGUUGUAUAGUUAAUGAAAAACAAUCUGGCAAAACAUGAGGUUAAGUUUACUUUCCCAAUAAAUUGGAAAUGUCUUAUAGAUAAUUUU